CCUACGGGCGGCAGCAGUGGGGAAUAUUGGACAAUGGGGGCAACCCUGAUCCAGCCAUGCCGCGUGUGUGAAGAAGGCCCUCGGGUUGUAAAGCACUUUCAGUGAGGAAGAACGCCUGGUGGUUAAUACCCAUCAGGAAAGACAUCACUCACAGAAGAAGCACCGGCUAACUCCGUGCCAGCAGCCGCGGUAAUACGGAGGGUGCGAGCGUUGAUCGGAAUUACUGGGCGUAAAGCGCGCGUAGGUGGCUUGAUAAGCCGGUUGUGAAAGCCCCGGGCUCAACCUGGGAACGGCAUCCGGAACUGUCAAGCUAGAGUGCAGGAGAGGAAGGUAGAAUUCCCGGUGUAGCGGUGAAAUGCGUAGAGAUCGGGAGGAAUACCAGUGGCGAAGGCGGCCUUCUGGACUGACACUGACACUGAGGUGCGAAAGCGUGGGUAGCAAACAGGAUUAGAUACCCUGGUAGUC
rnacentral:rRNA from 1 species